GGGUGACGAGCAGCAUUGGCGACUGCAGUGGACUGUAAAUCCGCCGUCUAUGACAUACGGGGUUCGAUUCCCUGGUCACCCACCA
rnacentral:tRNA from 2 species